rnacentral:rRNA from 1 species
GAAACGACUGCUAAGACUGGAUAGGAGACAAGAGGGCAUCUUCUUGUUUUUAAAAGACCUAGCAAUAGGUAUGCUUAGGGAGGAGCUUGCGUCACAUUAGUUAGUUGGUGGGGUAAAGGCCUAACAAGACUAUGAUGUGUAGCCGGGCUGAGAGGUUGAACGGCCACAUUGGGACUGAGACACGGCCCAAACUCCUACGGGAGGCAGCAGUAGGGAAUUUUCGGCAAUGGAGGAAACUCUGACCGAGCAACGCCGCGUGAACGAUGAAGUAUUUCGGUACGUAAAGUUCUUUUAUUAGGGAAGAAUAAUGAUGGAAAAAUCAUUCUGACGGUACCUAAUGAAUAAGCCCCGGCUAACUAUGUGCCAGCAGCCGCGGUAAUACAUAGGGGGCAAGCGUUAUCCGGAAUUAUUGGGCGUAAAGGGUGCGUAGGCGGUUAAAUAAGUUUAUGGUCUAAGUGCAAUGCUCAACAUUGUGAUGCUAUAAAAACUGUUUAGCUAGAGUAAGAUAGAGGCAAAUGGAAUUCCGUGUGUAGUGGUAAAAUGCGUAAAUAUAUGGAGGAACACCAGUAGCGAAGGCGGCUUGCUGGGUCUUUACUGACGCUGAGGCACGAAAGCGUGGGGAGCAAACAGGAUUAGAUACCCUGGUAGUCCACGCCGUAAACGAUGAGUACUAAACGUUGGGUAAAACCAGUGUUGAAGUUAACACAUUAAGUACUCUGCCUGAGUAGUACGUACGCAAGUAUGAAACUUAAAGGAAUUGACGGGACUCCGCACAAGCGGUGGAUCAUGUUGUUUAAUUCGAAGGUACCCGAAAAACCUCACCAGGUCUUGACAUGCUUCUGCAAAGCUGUAGAAACACAGUGGAGGUUAUCAGUUGCACAGGUGGUGCAUGGUUGUCGUCAGCUCGUGUCGUGAGAUGUUGGGUUAAGUCCCGCAACGAGCGCAACCCUUAUUGUUAGUUACCAGCACGUAAUGGUGGGGACUUUAGCAAGACUGCCAGUGAUAAAUUGGAGGAAGGUGGGGACGACGUCAAAUCAUCAUGCCCCUUAUGACCUGGGCUACAAACGUGAUACAAUGGCUGUUACAAAGGGUAGCUGAAGCGCAAGUUUUUGGCGAAUCUCAAAAAAACAGUCUCAGUUCGGAUUGAAGUCUGCAACUCGACUUCAUGAAGUUGGAAUCGCUAGUAAUCGCGAAUCAGCAUGUCGCGGUGAAUACGUUCUCGGGGUUUGUACACACCGCCCGUCA